GUCGUCGGGACUUCCAAGGGACAUCCGAUAAAAUCAGAAAGAUACAGAGAAGAUUAGCAUGGCGCAACGAUGAUACACACAAAUCGAGAAACGGUCCAAUAUUUU